GUCAGUGUUCCUUACAGCGAGGGUCCACCCGUUCCCAUUCCGAACACGGAAGUUAAGCUCGCUAGUGCCGAAAAUACUUGGUUGGUGACGACCUGGGAAAAUAGGUCAAUGCUGACA
rnacentral:rRNA from 1 species